AUUGAACGCUGGCGGUAGGCUUAACACAUGCAAGUCGUGCGAGAAAGUAUCUUCGGAUAUGAGUAGAGCGGCGGACGGGUGAGUAACGCGUAGGAAUCUACCUAGUAGAAGGGGAUAGCCCGGGGAAACUCGGAUUAAUACCGUAUACCUCCUUCGGGAGAAAGAAGGCCUCUCUUUGAAGCUUUCGCUAUUAGAUGAGCCUGCGUAAGAUUAGCUUGUUGGUGAGGUAAAGGCUCACCAAGGCGACGAUCUUUAGCGGGUCUGAGAGGACGAUCCGCCACAUUGGGACUGAGACACGGCCCAGACUCCUACGGGAGGCAGCAGUGGGGAAUAUUGGACAAUGGGCGCAAGCCUGAUCCAGCCAUACCGCGUGUGUGAAGAAGGCCCUAGGGUUGUAAAGCACUUUAAGUUGGGAAGAAAAGUUAUUGGUUAAUACCCAAUAACCGUGACAUUACCAUCAGAAUAAGGACCGGCUAAUUCCGUGCCAGCAGCCGCGGUAAUACGGAAGGUCCAAGCGUUAAUCGGAAUUACUGGGCGUAAAGCGCGCGUAGGUGGUUUAUUAAGUUGGAUGUGAAAUCCCCGGGCUCAACCUGGGAACUGCAUCCAAAACUGAUUCACUAGAGUACGAUAGAGGGAGGUAGAAUUCACAGUGUAGCGGUGGAAUGCGUAGAUAUUGUGAAGAAUACCAAUGGCGAAGGCAGCCUCCUGGAUCUGUACUGACACUGAGGUGCGAAAGCGUGGGUAGCGAACAGGAUUAGAUACCCUGGUAGUCCACGCCGUAAACGAUGUCAACUAGCUGUUGGAAAACUAUGUUUUUCAGUGGCGCAGCUAACGUAGUAAGUUGACCGCCUGGGGAGUACGGCCGCAAGGCUAAAACUCAAAUGAAUUGACGGGGACCCGCACAAGCGGUGGAGCAUGUGGUUUAAUUCGAUGCAACGCGAAAAACCUUACCUAUACUUGACAUACUUGGAAUGCUUUGUAAUGAAGCAGUGCCUUCGGGAGCCAAGAUACAGGUGCUGCAUGGCUGUCGUCAGCUCGUGUCGUGAGAUGUUCCGUUAAGUCGGAUAACGAGCGCAACCCUUACCCUUAUUUGCCAGCGAUUCGGUCGGGAACUAUAAGGGGACUGCCGGUGAUAAACCGGAGGAAGGUGAGGACGACGUCAAGUCAUCAUGGCCCUUACGUAUAGGGCUACACACGUGCUACAAUGGAGAAUACAGACGGACGCUAAGCCGCGAGGUGGUGCUAAUCCUAGAAAAUUCUUCGUAGUCCGGAUUGGAGUCUGCAACUCGACUCCAUGAAGUCGGAAUCGCUAGUAAUCGCGAAUCAGCAUGUCGCGGUGAAUACGAUCUCGGGUCU
rnacentral:rRNA from 1 species